GGCGGCGUGCCUAAUACAUGCAAGUCGAGCGAACGGACGAGAAGCUUGCUUCUCUGAUGUUAGCGGCGGACGGGUGAGUAACACGUGGAUAACCUACCUAUAAGACUGGGAUAACUUCGGGAAACCGGAGCUAAUACCGGAUAAUAUUUUGAACCGCAUGGUUCAAAAGUGAAAGACGGUCUUGCUGUCACUUAUAGAUGGAUCCGCGCUGCAUUAGCUAGUUGGUAAGGUAACGGCUUACCAAGGCAACGAUGCAUAGCCGACCUGAGAGGGUGAUCGGCCACACUGGAACUGAGACACGGUCCAGACUCCUACGGGAGGCAGCAGUAGGGAAUCUUCCGCAAUGGGCGAAAGCCUGACGGAGCAACGCCGCGUGAGUGAUGAAGGUCUUCGGAUCGUAAAACUCUGUUAUUAGGGAAGAACAUAUGUGUAAGUAACUGUGCACAUCUUGACGGUACCUAAUCAGAAAGCCACGGCUAACUACGUGCCAGCAGCCGCGGUAAUACGUAGGUGGCAAGCGUUAUCCGGAAUUAUUGGGCGUAAAGCGCGCGUAGGCGGUUUUUUAAGUCUGAUGUGAAAGCCCACGGCUCAACCGUGGAGGGUCAUUGGAAACUGGAAAACUUGAGUGCAGAAGAGGAAAGUGGAAUUCCAUGUGUAGCGGUGAAAUGCGCAGAGAUAUGGAGGAACACCAGUGGCGAAGGCGACUUUCUGGUCUGUAACUGACGCUGAUGUGCGAAAGCGUGGGGAUCAAACAGGAUUAGAUACCCUGGUAGUCCACGCCGUAAACGAUGAGUGCUAAGUGUUAGGGGGUUUCCGCCCCUUAGUGCUGCAGCUAACGCAUUAAGCACUCCGCCUGGGGAGUACGACCGCAAGGUUGAAACUCAAAGGAAUUGACGGC
rnacentral:rRNA from 1 species